GCUCGCCCGACCCUACCGCACAGUCCUACGACCACCCAUCAAAAAAACUUGUCUCUGUUUCCUUUUUUCGCCCCGGGAACCCUGUAUGGGUGGCCCACCGCCGGCAAUAAGUACAAAAGAAUGGGGGACACGCGACGCACACACACACAACAUCAUCCAAAAAACGACUUCGAUUUUAUAGAGA
ensembl:ncRNA Y38F1A.12 ncRNA